CGGACCAGUUGGGUACCGAGAAUGUCUCGCUCGCUUAUCACCUUGUUUCGGAAUGAGGGGAGAAAAACAAAUUGACAAUGAUCAGAUAAAGAAAGAGAGGUAAAGAAUUUAUACCAGUGAACAGGACUCAAAAUUAAACUGGAUCGCAGAUGAUCUUACGUUGCUUCUGCGCCUCGUCUUUAUAAUUCUGGAUCUCCUGCUCCAGGUUCU